GUAGGGGCUGUUGUUGCUCUUGUGAUACUGAUUGCAGUCAUCGCAGUAUGCAUCAAGCGGAGACAGAGACAGAAGGAAUACAACCGACAUAACAACGUUGCACAACCAUCAGAACUCCAGUUAACACACUACAACCUUGAACUUCUGGCCGUGUUGGGUGAAGGUCACUUCUGGAAGGUCUGGAAGGCCAAGGCCAAUGGGAUUCUACACACAGGUCAAUGUGACAUCGUUGCUGUUAAAGUAUGUAAAGAUAAUGCAUCUGAGGG